GCUGUGUGUGUCUGGGUGCGCUGUGUGUGUCUGGGUGCGCUGUGUGUGUCUGGGUGCGCUGUGUGUGUGUUUGGGUGCGUUGUGUGUGUGUUUGGGUGCUGUGUGUCUCUGAGGGUGCUGUGUGUGUCUGAGUGCUGUGUGUCUGAGUGCUGUGUGUGUCUGGGUACUGUCUGUGUCUGGGUGCUGUCUGUGUCUGGGUGCUGUGUGUGUCUGGGUGCUGUGUGUGU